rnacentral:ribozyme from 1 species
GGAAAAAAAAAAAAAAAAAAAAAAAAAAAAAAAAAAAAAAAAAAAAAA